rnacentral:misc_RNA from 1 species
GGAUUAGAGACAGGUGAAUUACAAUGUAAUUGUAUCUAGCCAUGCACAGUGCCAAAGAGGCAGCACCGCUAGAAUAAGACGCAAACGAAUCAGACUAACAAAAUAAGAGUCACCAGACACACUGACAAUAUGCUGAGUAUUUUUGACAGAUCCACCAAUAAGACGAAUACAGCACCAUCAUGAGAAACAUAUUGUUCCACAAAAUACACCCUACUCAGAUUGUUCUUAUAAGCAAAAGAUUAAAACCCACUACUAACACUACGACGCAUGCUUCAUUUGUCAAAGGAAUCGCCGAGGGGAAUUUAAGCCCUCUCACCACGAAUCCUCCUAGCCAGCUGAAUGUCCUUAGGCAUGAUGGUCACACGCUUGGCAUGAAUG